rnacentral:rRNA from 1 species
CACUCCUACGGGAGGCAGCAGUGGGGAAUAUUGCACAAUGGGCGCAAGCCUGAUGCAGCGACGCCGCGUGGGGGAUGAAGGCCUUCGGGUUGUAAACUCCUUUCGCUAGGGACGAAGCUUUUUUGUGACGGUACCUAGAUAAGAAGCACCGGCUAACUACGUGCCAGCAGCCGCGGUAAUACGUAGGGUGCGAGCGUUGUCCGGAAUUACUGGGCGUAAAGGGCUCGUAGGUGGUUUGUCGCGUCGUCUGUGAAAUUCUGGGGCUUAACUCCGGGCGUGCAGGCGAUACGGGCAUAACUUGAGUGCUGUAGGGGUAACUGGAAUUCCUGGUGUAGCGGUGAAAUGCGCAGAUAUCAGGAGGAACACCGAUGGCGAAGGCAGGUUACUGGGCAGUUACUGACGCUGAGGAGCGAAAGCAUGGGUAGCGAACAGGAUUAGAAACCCCAGUAGUCCCAUG